rnacentral:lncRNA from 1 species
UUUCUUUUGACUCCUUUUUUUUUUGAGAUUUUAACCCCACAGCUGCAGUUUAUCUACGAAAAUGCCAUUAACAUUUUUUUUUUUUUUUUCGAAAAUGGCUUCUUUACUGUCUCAACCUCAUCUUCUUCAAGUAUUUACAAUAUUGCCACUGCAAUGAAUAGUGGCAACAACCUUGUACGAACUGUUUGAAGCUUUUAAUGCCCUUUAAUGCACGUAAAUCUCUUUACACUCUCUC